rnacentral:tRNA from 1 species
AAGAGAGACAUAAUGGUUAUGGCAUUGGCUUGAAACCAGUCUAAGAAGGUUCGAUUCCUUCCUCUCUUA